rnacentral:rRNA from 1 species
AUGCAAGUCGAGGGUAGCGGGAUUGAAGCUUGCUUCAAUCGCCGGCGACCGGCGCACGGGUGAGUAACGCGUAUCCAACCUGCCCUUUACUCCGGGAUAGUCUCCUGAAAGGGAGUUUAAUACCGGAUGUGUUUGUCUUUCCGCAUGGGAGCGACAAAUAAAGAUUGAUUGGUAAAGGAUGGGGAUGCGUCCCAUUAGCUUGUUGGCGGGGUAACGGCCCACCAAGGCGACGAUGGGUAGGGGUUCUGAGAGGAAGGUCCCCACAUUGGAACUGAGACACGGUCCAAACUCC